rnacentral:rRNA from 1 species
UACGGAGGGAGCUAGCGUUGUUCGGAAUUACUGGGCGUAAAGCGCACGUAGGCGGCUUUGUAAGUUAGAGGUGAAAGCCCCGGGCUCAACCUGGGAACCGCGCUUGAGACUGGAGAACUAGAGUUCGGGAGAGGUGAGUGGAACUGCGAGUGUAGAGGUGAAAUUCGUAGAUAUUCGCAAGAACACCAGUGGCGAAGGCGGCUCACUGGCCCGAUACUGACGCUGAGGCACGAAAGCGUGGGGAGCAAACAGG